GGGGGAGUAGUUCAGUGGUAGAGCAGCGCGGUCUUCGGACCGCGAGACCCCGGUUCGAUUCCGGGCUCGCCCG